CGCCUGUUUAUCAAAAACAUAGCUUCUAGCCACAUAAAUAUUAGAAGUAACGCCUGCCCUGUGGAAACCCUAAACGGCCGCGGAACUAAAACCGUGCAAAGGUAGCACAAUCACUUGUCCCUUAAAUGGAGACCCGUAUGAAGGGCAACAUGAGAGAAGACCUGUCUCCUAAGGCCAGCCAAUGAAAUUGAACUGCCCGUACAAAAGCUGGCAUUCUCAAGCUAGACAAAAAGACCCCGUGGAACUUUAACAACUUAUUUAUACAACUAAAUAAUAGUUUCAGUUGGGACAACUUUAGAAAAAAUAAACUUCUUAUUACAUCAAGACCCACAAGUCUAAAACCCAUGACAAUAGAUCCAGUACACACUGAUUAAUGAAAUAAGCUACCCCAGGGAUAACAGCGCUACCUUCUCAAAGAGUCCAUAUCAACAAGAAGAUCUACGACCUCGAUGUUGGAUCGGGGUACCCAGACGGUGCAACAGCUGUCAAUGGUUCGUUUGUUCAACGACUAACACCCUACGUGAUCUGAUUUCAGACCGG
rnacentral:rRNA from 1 species